UCGAUUUUUCCGGCAAUUAUUGCCAAAAAAGCACCUGGCAUCUCCUCUUGGCCUAAACGGCAACAAAACUAAGAGGAAGAGGAAAAGAGACGAUUAAUUUUGAGUAGAUUAAAUUGACUGGAACAUGAAAUUUUUGGGAGUUUGGGCAUGCUAUUCAUGGAUUAAACAAGAGGAGUUUGGGCAAGCCUACAUGCUAAGCCAGUUUUCGCCUUGUGAAAUCUCCACCAUCCGUUUAGAUUAGACUGCUGGAGCACAAUGGUUACAUAUUGAGGUAGGGAUGCACAAAAAAGUAUCCCAAGCUUUUACAUCUUGGAACCUGUUACAUUCUCUUGAAUUUCAGAAAAAAUCAAGACAAGCGAAUGUGAUCCCCACAGAUAAAAAAAGUUCAUCUCUUGCAAACCAAUCCCAAGUUCACAUUAACUGCUCUCUCUCUCAAGUGUUUUGAAGGAUUUGAUUGCAGUCUUACAUAGAAACACAAGAUAGCAAAUACAUGAUGUCAAAAUUUAACUCAAGCUAUGGCUGUCAUCCAAAACAAGCGAUCUUCAACGCAUUAACUGCUCUCUCUCUCUCUCGAGUGUUUUCAAGGAUCAGUCUUACAUAGAAACACAAGAUAGCAAAUACAUGAUGUCAAAGUUUAGCUCCAGCUAUGGCUGUCAUCCAAAAAAAACGACCUUCAAAAACCCACACAUAUCCCAUCACUGAUCCUCCCUUUUAUCCAACAAUGCUUGCCUCUGGCUAACAGAUGUUCCUAACCCUGACAGUAGUUAUUUCAGCAACUUAUCAGAAUGCUCUUCGUGCACCUAGGACCAGCUCCUUGCUCCCACCUCUCAUCAUUGCCACAAAUUCCUCAUAAUUGAUNNN
rnacentral:lncRNA from 1 species